rnacentral:rRNA from 1 species
GAAGAAGCCCCGGCCAACUUCGUGCCAGCAGCCGCGGUAAUACGAAGGGGGCUAGCGUUGCUCGGAAUCACUGGGCGUAAAGGGCGCGUAGGCGGCCCGGCAAGUCAGGCGUGAAAUCCCCGGGCUCAACCCGGGGGCUGCGCUUGAGACUGCGGGGCUCGAGGGCGGGAGAGGCUCGCGGAAUUCCCAGUGUAGAGGUGAAAUUCGUAGAUAUUGGGAAGAACACCGGUGGCGAAGGCGGCGAGCUGGCCCGUUUCUGACGCUGAGGCGCGACAGCGUGGGGAGCAAACAGGAUUAGAUACCCUGGUAG